rnacentral:rRNA from 1 species
AUUGAACGCUGGCGGCAGGCCUAACACAUGCAAGUCGAACGAGUGGCGGACGGGUGAGUAAUGUCUGGGAAACUGCCCGAUGGAGGGGGAUAACUACUGGAAACGGUAGCUAAUACCGCAUACCAUCAGAUGUGCCCAGAUUGGAUUAGCUCGUUGGUGGGGUAACGGCUCACCCAGGCGACGAUCCCUAGCUGGUCUGAGAGGAGGACCAGCCACACUGGAACUGAGAGACGGUCAAGAGUCCUACGGGAGGCAGCAGUGGGGAAUAUUGCACAAUGGGCGGAAGCCUGAUGCAGCCAUGCCGAGUGUGUGAAGAAGGCCUUCGGGUUGUAAAGUACUUUCAGCGGGUAGGCGUUACCCGCAGAAGAAGCACCGGCUAACGCCGUGCCAGCAGCCGCGGUAAUUC